GGUGGAAUACAUUUUAUACAGAAACUUGUCUUUGAGAUUAUCAAAUCAAAUAGGCAACACCACCUUCAAAAAGGGCAUCCACAAAAACAGAUGAUGGUAAUAAUACUAAUAUAAUGUACAAAAUUCCAAACAUUUAUCCUCAAUUUCCUCCAGAUUACAAUUACAUGGGAAGAAUAUGAGUGACAAACACAUAACAACUUUAAACUCUCCACAAAACCUAAUAACAAGACAGAAGAAAGUGGCUAUUUUUUGCCUUGUUCUUUACCCUGCCUUGUCCUAUUUUAUUGAUGACUGACGCCAAACUCAUUCAUGAGCAACAACUUGAACAUCGCAGCUAUUUACAUCAUACAGUAACUCUAACAACAGUGAAUUAUUAAGAUUAGAUCCUCUUUCCAAAGGAAACAAAAAAACUCCUCUGCUGAUUCUUGGUAUUGAGUUCUCUCUAUUAUCUAUUAUCUGUUCUUCAAAAUUGCAUUAGGCAACAGCAGAGAUACUACAGUUGCUCCUCCUAUCUCUUCUAAGACAGUCAAAACCUUCAAUCCUAACAGCAGCUGGGGUGUUGCCGAAUUUCAUCGGAACUCCACAUCCUCGAGCCGAUGGCGAAGGCGACGCCACCAUGGUAAAUGGACUACUAAAAUUCCCAUUACCAAAUUGCUCAUCUUGGAUUACAGGGUUAGAGGCCCUGCUUGGUGGAGAUCCAAUGAAAUAUGGAGGCGACGAUGCCAACAAAUUAGCCGCUGCCGAUCUCUCUGGAUAGCAACUUGCCUGUAAACAAAUCAAAUAAAAUACGAACUAUUAGGAUAGACUCUUUAAAAAAGAUAAAAUUCAUAGACUUUGAUAAUAUAAAUUAUCACCAAAAUUUGAGUAUCAAAAGAUAUCAACAUGAACUAUUAGGCAAAAUUUGAGUUAUCACAAGAAAUCAACAUAAUUUAUGUAUACUAAUUUGUUUCAUAGGAAAAUAUUAGCAGUAAGAUAAAUAUGAAGAUUGCAUAAAAAGUAAAACACACACACAUGUAUAUAAAGGAUGUGAAAAUUGAUAUAGGAAUUAACCUUGGGAUGGAUGAUUUCAAGAAGUUCUGCCCCAACUCCUGAAUCUUCAAUUUCAGAUUGGUAGCUGAUUUUCAAGAAACAAAAUAGUAAGAAAGACAUGAUUUUUAUUUAAAAAAAUAAAAAUAAAAAAAAAAUAAGAAAAGUACCUAAUGGGGCACCUCAAGGGUCUGAUAUGGUUGUUGAUGGAAGAUUGAUGAUGGUUUGAUAGACCCAACCUACGUGGCUUAGGACAAACCACUGGUUCCAUCCUCACCUCCUCAUAGCUACUUGUCAUUGUGUUCAUCU
rnacentral:lncRNA from 1 species